rnacentral:rRNA from 1 species
AGCGAACGCUGGCGGCAGGCCUAACACAUGCAAGUCGAACGAACUCUUCGGAGUUAGUGGCGGACGGGCGAGUAACACGUGGGAACGUGCCUUUUGGUUCGGAAUAACUCAGGGAAACUUGUGCUAAUACCGAAUGUGCCCUUCGGGGGAAAGAUUUAUCGCCAUUAGAGCGGCCCGCGUCUGAUUAGCUAGUUGGUGAGGUAACGGCUCACCAAGGCGACGAUCAGUAGCUGGUCUGAGAGGAUGACCAGCCACACUGGGACUGAGACACGGCCCAGACUCCUACGGGAGGCAGCAGUGGGGAAUCUUGCGCAAUGGGCGAAAGCCUGACGCAGCCAUGCCGCGUGAAUGAUGAAGGUCUUAGGAUUGUAAAAUUCUUUCACCGGGGACGAUAAUGACGGUACCCGGAGAAGAAGCCCCGGCUAACUUCGU